UUUUGUCUAAUGGGUUUAAGGGUUAUCUAACAUUUUGGAAAACCAAACAGCUUCCAAUUUGGUUUGAGUUACAGCUUAAAAAAAAGGUCACGUCAGUAAAUAUGUAGUAGUACACAUAUAACGUGGGAAUUAAACUAUUUGGACACGUACAUUUGAUGUUUAAGAUGCAUAAAUCAAUCUACAAUUUUUGUCAACCAACCAAAGUUGUUGACGGCAGACCCAAAAGAGGCCCCGCGGCACACUUGACUGCCAUGUGAAUUGUGAUCGGAGGCUGCUGCGGGAGCAUAGCAAGAUGUUGCUGGUUGACGAUGGACGGUUCGGAUGUUGCGAUGGAGCGACUUCCGUGCUACUGCUCCAGAUCGUCGAAGACGGCCGACGGAAAUGGAAGGGUGGUGGAGGAGGUGGGAAGGGGAAUCCGCCGCCAUUUGAUACUUCUCUCGUUACCCUCUCAAGAUCAUUCUACCCAACAAGGUGUAGUCCUCGUCGCCGCCACCGCCGCUGUCUUUACACUUAUUUACGCGGGUCAUUCCCCCUCCAUCCAUUUACUUUCAUCUCCACCGAUCGACGGCUGAUCUUCGAUCUCACUCUUGAUCAAAAUGCGAUGAUUUAGCCGUUUCCUUUUCUUUCCCCUUUUGAUAGCGAGAUGGAGCCUCGUCGGCGAUGGUGCAUCGUACGCUUCUACCAAGGCCUACGAGUCCGGAAUCGAAUCAUUCAGUGCAAAUUUUGCAGGUAAUUUAAUUCCAGAAACACGAAGCUGAUCACAGAAUUGAAUUUUGGUAUGGUUUCAUUGUUCAUGUUGAAAUUAAUGACUGGUACAUACCUUUUGUUGUUUAAGUAUGCUCCUACUUUAUCAACUGAAUUCAAUUUAUUCCUUCACUUUGAACAGUAAUUAUUAGUGAUUUUCAUAUGUGCAAUAGGUUAGAGUAACAACUGGAUACUCCCAGACUUGUAUUCUGAUUCCAGAUACGUCAUUGUCGAUUGGGCUACCAGUGAAUUAAAAU